rnacentral:rRNA from 1 species
AUUGAACGCUGGCGGCAUGCCUUACAUAUGCAAGUCAAACGGCAGCACGGGUGCUUGCACCUGGUGGCGAGUGGCGAACGGGUGAGUAAUACAUCGGAACGUACCUUAUCGUGGGGGAUAACGCAGCGAAAGCUGUGCUAAUACCGCAUACGCCCUGAGGGGGAAAGCGGGGGAUCGAAAGACCUCGCGCGAUUAGAGCGGCCGAUGCCUGAUUAGCUUGUUGGUGGGGUAAAAGCCCACCAAGGCGACGAUCAGUAGCUGGUCUGAGAGGACGAUCAGCCACACUGGGACUGAGACACGGCCCAGACUCCUACGGGAGGCAGCAGUGGGGAAUUUUGGACAAUGGGGGCAACCCUGAUCCAGCAAUGCCGCAUGAGUGAAGAAGGCCUUCGGGUUGUAAAGCUCUUUUGUCAGGGAAGAAACACCGGCUCUAACACAGUCCGGGAAUGACGGUACCUGAAGAAUAAGCACCGGCUAACUACGUGCCAGCAGCCGCCGUAA